AGAGUUUGAUCCUGGCUCAGGACGAACGCUGGCGGCGUGCUUAACACAUGCAAGUCGAACGGAGCACCCUUGAUUGAGGUUUCGGCCAAAUGAUAGGAAUGCUUAGUGGCGGACUGGUGAGUAACGCGUGAGGAACCUGCCUUUCAGAGGGGGACAACAGUUGGAAACGACUGCUAAUACCGCAUGACGCAUUUUGAUCGCAUGGUCGAAAUGCCAAAGAUUUAUCGCUGAAAGAUGGCCUCGCGUCUGAUUAGCUAGUUGGUGAGGUAACGGCCCACCAAGGCGACGAUCAGUAGCCGGACUGAGAGGUUGACCGGCCACAUUGGGACUGAGAUACGGCCCAGACUCCUACGGGAGGCAGCAGUGGGGAAUAUUGGGCAAUGGGCGCAAGCCUGACCCAGCAACGCCGCGUGAAGGAAGAAGGCUUUCGGGUUGUAAACUUCUUUUAAGAGGGAAGAGCAGAAGACGGUACCUCUUGAAUAAGCCACGGCUAACUACGUGCCAGCAGCCGCGGUAAUACGUAGGUGGCAAGCGUUGUCCGGAUUUACUGGGUGUAAAGGGCGUGCAGCCGGGCAUGCAAGUCAGAUGUGAAAUCUCAGGGCUUAACCCUGAAACUGCAUUUGAAACUGUAUGUCUUGAGUGCCGGAGAGGUAAUCGGAAUUCCUUGUGUAGCGGUGAAAUGCGUAGAUAUAAGGAAGAACACCAGUGGCGAAGGCGGAUUACUGGACGGUAACUGACGGUGAGGCGCGAAAGCGUGGGGAGCGAACAGGAUUAGAUACCCUGGUAGUCCACGCUGUAAACGAUGGAUACUAGGUGUGCGGGGACUGACCCCCUGCGUGCCGCAGUUAACACAAUAAGUAUCCCACCUGGGGAGUACGAUCGCAAGGUUGAAACUCAAAGGAAUUGACGGGGGCCCGCACAAGCGGUGGAUUAUGUGGUUUAAUUCGAAGCAACGCGAAGAACCUUACCAGGUCUUGACAUCCUGCUAACGAAGUAGAGAUACAUUAGGUGCCCUUCGGGGAAAGCAGAGACAGGUGGUGCAUGGUUGUCGUCAGCUCGUGUCGUGAGAUGUUGGGUUAAGUCCCGCAACGAGCGCAACCC
rnacentral:rRNA from 1 species